ACCGCAGUUAUAUUCUAGGGCUGCAUUAUGCAUUCUGCAGCCCUGGAAUAUAUCUGCGGUU
ensembl:miRNA gmo-mir-11203 gmo-mir-11203